CGCGGCACCGGCAGCGACCGAGCGGGAGGGACGAAGCGGGGCUGCCCGCGGGGCCGCAGCUGCCGCCGGGGCGCACCGCCCGCUCCGUCCUGCGAGCCCCGGGAUGCGCCUGGCGAGGCGGAGCAUCCCGGGCACGGGGGAGAGCCCCGGCGUGGUGCCCGUGGUGCUCCCGGUGUGCUUCUCAGCGCCGUGAAGGCCGAGGAAGGUGGUAGUUGGGGAUCAGGGGAAGGUGAAAUCACAAACGUGCACAUGCCUCGGUCGUAACCGGACAGCCCACCGUGUGUCCCCGCUCAGACGGGAAAUCACCGGGGAGGCUCAGCCCUUCCACUGAUGGCUUGGGUCCCUUGGAGUUGCUUGUUCCCAAGAGAAGCAUUCCAGUGUUCACUGUAACUGUGUGGAUGGAUGCUGUAGGACAUGCCACCUCCAGACUGACAGCUGCUCCAAACACAUGGGGACAUGCAGAAGUUGUCAUUGGCUUAGUGACUGUGUGGGCUGCUCCUUUUCCCUUUGGCUAAGCAGCCUUGCAGCCUCAGAAGGGGUGAGUUUGGGCCAGGGAGGGUCUCCUUUUGGCUGCAGAGCUGGAGUUGGGGCUGAAGCUGGAGCUGGAGAAGCUGAAGCUUCCUCCACUUGCCCAGUCAGUGGAUCACAAAGACCUGCAGCCAGGCAGAAGGUACAGCUCCAGUGGCAUCUACCUCAUCCUGUGUGGCACCAAGAGCCCAGAGGAUUCAGAAAACCACAUGGGGGAUUGUGUUUGUGCUGAAGCCCCAGGGACCAUGGCUGUGCUGGGGCCAGGGUUUCUCUCUGACUCAGUGACACUCUGAAAGUGGUGUCGGUGUCCCUGUGAUGGUCAGGGCUGACCACUUCUGCUUCCUGCCCUUUGGUCCAUGAGUCCUGAACACAGCCCUUCACAUCAGCAAGUCAGACUAAAGAGGAAGACCCUGCUCUGGAGAGUGUAUUUCCUACAGUGUUUCACACAUGCCUGUGGAGAAGUCUGGAUUAUAUUCUGGAAGUAUCCUUCUUUGAGGCAACAACCUGGAAAAAUAAAUAAUGGUGGCCUGUGCAAAUUGGAUUUAUGGAGCUUUAACUGUGCUGACCCAUGAAUUUUGAUAAAUACAUUUCUACUAUUAAUAAAGGCACUGAGCUGCUCA